UCCCCUCCCGUCUCCUCUCUGCGCGUGAUUCAUUUGGACAGUGGUGUGUCGUGAUUAUGUGUCGCCUGACGCUACAGGCAGCCUGCGCCUGCUUAAAAGCGUCUGGUUCAGCGCUUUGAAGAACAUGAAUCUUGUGCGUGCGCCAUUCCAUCUAGAAAAUGUAACUCGUGCCAACAGACGUGUGAUAAAAUCAUGCAGGGUCUAACCCUAAUCACUUCAGAGGCCUCGGCGUUUUGUGCAAGAACAGUACGGUGCUUAUCCGUAGUGGAAAAAAAGAAACUGUUUUUGUUGUUGUGAUGAGCCAAGGGCUGUGUUUUUGGUGCGGUUAGGGUUUUGAGAAAGUAUCCUGUGCUAGAACCAUCAAAUGACAAUGUCAAAGCCGCCGAGUGACAACCUUACCACCUACAAGUUGGUCGUGGUUGGUGACGGAGGGGUCGGCAAGUCGGCACUGACCAUUCAGUUCUUUCAGAAACUUUUCGUCACGGACUACGACCCGACGAUCGAAGAUUCGUAUAUACAGCAUACCGAAAUUGAUGGCCAGUGGUGCAUUCUAGAUGUGUUGGACACAGCGGGCCAAGAGGAGUUCAGUGCCAUGCGGGAGCAGUACAUGCGCAAGGGGGAUGGCUUCCUGCUGGUGUACUCGGUGACAGACAAACAGAGCUUUGACAACAUGGGCCACUUCCACACUCAGAUUCUGCGCGUCAAAGAUCGCGAUUCGUACCCCAUGCUGCUGGUGGCGAACAAGGUGGACCUGGUGCACCUACGACGAGUCUCCGAGGAGCAAGGUCGAGAGCUUGCUCAGCAGCUGAAGAUUAGCUACAUUGAGACAAGUGCCAAAGACCCACCUAUCAAUGUGGAUGCUGCAUUUCAUGAAGUGGUGAGGAUAAUUAGAAACCAACCGCCACAGCUGGAUCAGAAGCGACGGAGAAAGUGGUGGAAGAACUCCCGCUGCACCCUGCUGUAACGAGCCUGCCGUGAGCCACUGGUGUGCCCUUUCUUGACCCUUCCUGUCCUUUCUUGCCUGGCAGGGCACAACCUUCUCUUUCUUUUGGUCUCACUGGUCUUUUGGGGAUGUGUUACUUAGUACGUCACAGAAUUCAUUUUGGCAGCUAAAAGAAACCAAUCCUAAUGAGUUAGCAGGCAGCGUUGAUGUGAUUCUCGGCAUACUGUGCUGUGGUUGUCCUCUUGUCAAACAUCACAGCCACAGUCACUUUUCAUGUGACUGAAAAGUGCAGCCAUUUUAUUCAUCCCUGUUUUCACUUGAGGAAUGAAACAAACUAACCAAAGAACACGUCGGAGCACUGUGGCUGCUGUCACGAUCACUUUCAAAGCAUAAAGCAUUGUCGACAAGGCUUUGUACAUAAUUUGAGUGGCCAUAUUGAAUGGGCAUGUUUAUGAACUUUUAAGCUGCCCAUCUUGACUUUUGUCAUGUUUUGAUCUCCGUACAGUCGUGCUUUUGGGUGCCAUUCUUUUGACUUCAGUAGGCAGUUUGGCAGCAUUUGUGUGUGCUUCAUGUAAAAGCUUCGGCACAAACAGGUGAUUACGAGAGAAACAUGGGAUCAGGACUCAAUUCUCAGCUGUCCACCUUGAGUAAAUACAGUUACGGUGUGUAAAACAUGGCAUGUACGCCGUUCAGCCCCUCCAGCUCUCUUUGUUAUUGGUGCUAAAUUAUUCAUUAUGGUAUCAUUCCUGUUGAGAGAAAAAUGGGUUGUGUGCAGCUCCUUGGAAUUAGAAAAAAGAAUUUAAGGACCCUUGAGACUACUUCAAAACGCAUGCGCUCCUUGAGUUCCUUAAAAAUUAGUGUUCACCUGAAUCCACGCAACCGUGAGCGGGCGGUGCAAAUAUGGAAAAGUGGCAAGAAGCAAAAAGUAAGACAAUAAAGCAAUCUGCAGUGACAGCAUUUAGAACCAUUCAGAGAGACUGCAGCAGACCUCUGGAGCAAUCGGAGCUGACGAGAUGGCGAAUUCAAUGGUGUCCAGAAUAGUACCACAUGCCUGGGGACUUGGCUUGUCUGCAAGCAAAAAAUCAGACAAGGUAAAGCUUGCCAACUGUGGUCUAAUGUUCAACAUCACACGUUCAGCAUAUCUUUACCUGCCUUCCUUAUGAAUUCGAGCCACAGAAGCACCAUAGCUGUCUUUAUUUUCAUACAUUAGCUCUUACUUUUAAUUAACUUGUUAUCUGCGAUUCUGUAAGGAAUAGUGGUGGGCUGCUAAUUGUCCAAAUCACAAAAGAGAUGAAGCUUUCAGUGCAGCAGACAAGGCAUCGAUACAGCGAGUAUUUGGAGGAAUGCAAGAAAAGGAGGGAGGAAAUGCUAAAAGAAUUAACAAUAGGAGGGCAUGUGUUUUGGAGCUUGAUGUGCUAGAAUAAAAAGGUCCAAACUCCAUUAAACAUUGAACUACUCGAGAGAAUUUGCUGCCACAUUUUGUGAAGGUGCCGAAGCGAAAAAUGAUGCAACUCUAUUAGCCAAGGCAAACAGCUUCCGAAGUACAGAAAAUGAGACUGAGGUAGUCAUUGUAGGCAAAGAAAUUGCAGCUAAGAAGAUUUGAGGAUUCAUAAAAUACUUAUAAAAUGCAUGAUAAAGUUUAUUUUGCCUCUCCUUGAAUUCUGGCCUUCAGAAUCCUUUAAAUCCUUGAAUGUUUAUCAAAUAUUCUGUACUAUCCCUAGAAAGACGAAAGGCAGGGAGGUUAACCAGGUGCGAGUAUCCUGUUUGCUACCCUACGCUGGGGUGGAGAAAUAAGGGUAGGAAAGAAGGCUGCAUAUUUGGCUACCUGGUGGAAUAGUACUAUCUUGAUAGAGGCCUGAUGAAUAUCAGCAAUGUUGGCAAGCACAGUCCUUCCUGGCAAGUCAUGCUCAAGAUUUACAAUGGUGCUGACAACUUUUUGGUUUGUAUCUGGCAGCAUUGCUAAUGCUUCGCGAUUUUAAUGCCACUGUGUGGUUCAGAGGCUAAACCUGUGUGCAAUUGCAGCAAAUAUUUAUUUAUUCGUGUUUUCCAUUAGUCUGUCGUUCUGAGGUGUCUUUACGAAAGGCUGGUUGACACUUAUAGCAUUGAAGGCCAACAAGUGUACCAAAGCACCGAAACCAAAGUUUAUGCAUCAUAAAAAUGAGUCACUCACUUGGAAACUCGAUAAAAUAUGUCAUUCUUAUUACUUCUGUUUGAAAAUUUUAUACCAGCUUUAUGUAUGACGUUAAUAAUGUCAUGUAUACACAGCAUGACUCUUUAAUCCAAUUAGUUGUAUUUCUUUUGUACUUCUGUGCAAGAGAACACAAGUUCUCUUGCGACUGGUACACACUAUCGUAAGCCCCCCCACCCACCCCACCAAAAAGAAAAAUUGCACAGUGACCAAACUUUUGUGCAAUCUUGACAGAAAAUGUUCUUAGCAAAAGGCUAAAAGACUGAGUUAUAACUCUAAAAAGAAACAUUGAAAUAAACAGAUCUGUUGACGACAGUGCACCAAAUUGCCAAAAAAAGCGUAAGCACAUAUCUUGAGGAAUCGCCAAGACUGGUGACAAUGGUACACAGCCUAUUAAGCGAGAGUUGUGCCCGUUAUAUGUGCAUUGCUUUCAGGGUUAGCAAGCACUGUACUUCCCCUACGCCACAUCGAAGCAGUCCUGCAACCAUUAACAGCCAUCGUGUGGUGACACAGUUGAAAAUGCAUUGAAUAUAUAAUCAGGCACAUAGAGAAAUGUGAACUCUUUUUGAUGGACAAGAAUCUUAAGCAUUCAGUUAUAAUCAAAGAAAUUUUAGUGAUGUGUAGUCGGUCACAUAGCACGUGUACUCAAGUGAUGUCAAGGUUUAUCUGGAAGGCAUGGCUUUUCUAGUAUUGCGAAGCUUGAGAAAUUUAAUUAGAUGGUAAUGGUACUUGGGUAAUAAUGUGCACGUAGGGUACUGGACUUAACUUAGUAAAGAAGCAUUUGCGCUUUGCACUUUUACACAACAAAGCAUUUGAGUUUGACUACCGUCUGGGUAGUUUCGUCAAUGUGAAAAGAACACCUUUUAAUUGAGGCCAUGAAGGGACAUUUAAAGAGGGGUGUUAAGUCCAGGCACGACUUGAAGAUUAUCGUCCUGGCAACUCCGUAGGGCUUGUGUCUGUCUUCAAGAGGGAACUCGGUUGCUGAUAAUAUUACAAUUGACAACAAUUUGGCUUCGAUACUGUACUGUAUCCAUGAUCGUGAAACGCAUUUACUCUUUCCAAACUCUACAGAGAGUAGAGUCCAUGUUUGUGUGUAAUGUUGCAAUCAUUUUUAUCUGUUAUUGGCUACUUUUCGCCAUUCAUAAAAUAGGACAUUAGAAGUCGCAGGGAGCAGAGAAAACGUGAACUUCAUUCCAAAAACCAGAAUUCAGUUUUAUUCACUUUAAUGUGUUUGUUUUGUGUGAAGCCCAAGUUUGCUAUUUCGGGCACGUGCUUGUACACAGUCGGAGGAGGAGUCAAGCUCCUUCUCAGGUUGUUACAGGCCUAUUUGUAAGUGUGGGUUUGGUCAGGCUUGCCUUGGUAGUGGUAUGCACUGGGAACAGUUUUUGUAUUUUUGCAUUAGUGGUGCCAGUGCUGCACUGUACAGGUUGGUUGGUCUUCUUUUUCUAUUUAAAGAUCCCUGUGCUUGGCAAGAGUGACACUUUUGAUUCAAUGCUGUGAACUCUCUACUAACUUUACUAUAUAUGUUUGGUGUCCCUUUAUGCUACUGUUGGCAUUAAGAAAAAGCUUAUGCCUCAGUUCAUGAAAAUCCAAGCAAUGUGGUGGCUGUUUGCCUGCUUUGAGGCUCCUUCACAAGUGUUCUAUUCCGUCAUUCAUAUUGUUGCUUGCCAACCACACCUUAUAGCCGCGGUUAUCUUUGGGCCUUUGCCUUUUCUGCUUUGCCAAAUGAAGCAGCACCCAGUGGCCAAUGGAAUGUACCUUGAGGGAUCUCAGAUUUGUGCAUGUGGUGUAUUUGUACCUGUUUCCGUGCAGUGAUGGUGAGGUGUAUUAACAGUUGUAUUUCUUAUCUCUCAACCUUUCCCCUCUCCUCUCCUUUAUUUUUCGUAUAUUUUGUUGUGUAUAUACUAGUACAUAUAUGUGUGUGUGUGGGUGUAUACGCAAGCCCCGGAUGUCUUCUUGCCUUUAGAACUUUAACCGGAGCCUUUGCUUUCCAUACCUAUUAGCUUUGUCUGCUCUUGUCUUCUUCUUUUUUUUUUUUUUUUUUCAAAUAAGAGUAUCUCACAGAGAGAGCAAGCGCAGCAUAGCUCCUGCCUUGCGUAAUUUUUCUCAUUUGUAAUGUGAGAAGAGAGUCAUAACACACGCACUCUGCUGGCAGCAAUUUAUAGCACGCAAGCGAGACUCGAAUGAAAUGAGAUUUGGUUUGGUUUUACCGUGGCGAGCACAGCAGUAAACAUUUGUGUUGGUGUGUAUUUUAUUCCAUGGCAUUGUUGUCUUAUAUUGCUAAUCGUUGUUAAACACAAGGGCAAAAAGAACUGAAAGCCCGUUUUACACGUUCAACUUUCUUACUAAUCACUGUAAGAAAGUGCUCACUUCGGCGCGUUACAGCCUUGGUUUCUUGAUGAGGUUUAUUUCCAAAGGUGUUUUGUGCGCAGUUUGCAGCUGUGGUUCGGCAAAGGGCACAAUCCUUGAGAUGGCCAUCCAAAUAUCAAAGUGAGGUGGCGCUAAUGUGGUAUAUAUAUAUAUAUAUAUUUUUUUUCUUUCUUUAUGCACGAUACAUUGUUAACGACGCAUGGUUGACCAGAUUACUUGCAGCUAACUGUAAAUGGAGACAUCACAAUUUUUUGCGUUCAUACUUGCACAAUACUUUUGGUGAUAUUUUUUCAAACUUUAUGACUCGCACAUUUCUGGCUUCUACCUAACAGUACAUGCAAGGAAUGGUUAUGAUCUUCUAGGUGCUCCUGAAGUUUUACACAGUGUUUUCAAAAAGAUGGAAUUAUUUUAUGAAGUGCCACUACUGCACUGAAUAUUCAUUGUGGGCAGUUCUGCUAGCUACUGGCCAUGAUAAAUGUCUAUGGGCCAACUUCUGAUAAACUGUGAGCACUCCCCCACCCCUUUGCCCCUUUGUCUGAUUAAACAGCCAAAUUGCACUGUGCUAUCUACUGUUGACUUGAAGCUGUGCAGUCUUUUUUUUUUUUCCCUAAUGGUACAUACUUGAACUAUAUGCAAUAUUUUUUUUCAGCAGCUGUUUGAUAGUGAAACUUGAUAUUUUCAUUUGUGCUUCUUGUCUAGUCUGGCUUAGAUGUCUGUGGUUAAAUUAAUAUAUAUUUAUUAAGCAUUGUAAUGUCUGAAUUAGUGAAGUGUACACCGGUGUUUUUCAGUCAUGUGUGCACUGUAAGCAUUUUGUUGGGAUUUCAGUUCUGGUUCAGUUAAGCCAGGUCAGAAUGAACAGACAAUGCAGAGAACUACCGUAGGCUUUCUUGUGCUCUGAGGUAGAUGAUGCCAUUUUUGUUCACGUGGUUCCAAAAGUUAGUACUUUGAUGUUGAGCGUGUGUUGGAGUGGCCACAUAAUGUCAUCUUCACAAAAAUUUAUUGAGGUGUAAGGAUUAUUUGCACAUUUUAAGUGUUACAUAUCAGCCUAGCAGCUGGUCGGCGGUAUUUAUGGUAGUGUCCGUUCUCUUAUUAUUAUUGGUUAAUAUAAAUUAUGCAGACUUUAUGUUUACCUUUACAUUCUUUAUACUCUAUAAAGUGACCUGUUGCCUGUGGUGCAGAAUGUAUCUUUUAGUUCAUAAAACAGACAUUGUCUUAUAAAUAUUGUGUGCUUAUUUCCA